rnacentral:rRNA from 1 species
UACAGAGGUCCCGAGCGUUGUUCGGAUUCACUGGGCGUAAAGGGUGCGCAGGUGGGUUGGCAAGUUUGAUGUGAAAGCCCCGGGCUUAACCCGGGAAUGGCAUUGAAUACUGCUGAUCUGGAGGAUCGGAGGGGGACUGGAAUUCUUGGUGUAGCAGUGAAAUGCGUAGAUAUCAAGAGGAACACCAGUGGCGAAGGCGAGUCCCUGGACGAUACCUGACACUGAGGCACGAAAGCCAAGGGAGCAAACAGG